rnacentral:rRNA from 1 species
UACGUAGGGUGCAAGCGUUAUCCGGAAUUAUUGGGCGUAAAGAGCUCGUAGGCGGUUUGUCGCGUCUGCUGUGAAAAACUCGGGGGCUUAACCCCCGGGCCUGCAGUGGGUACGGGGCAGACUAGAGUUCGGUAGGGGAGUCUGGAAUUCCUGGUGUAGCGGUGAAAUGCGCAGAUAUCAGGAGGAACACCGGUGGCGAAGGCGGGGACUCUGGGCCGAUACUGACGCUGAGGAGCGAAAGCGUGGGGAGCGAACAGG